AUGACGGUACCUUGCGAAUAAGAGGUUACUAACUCUGUGCCAGCAGUAGCGGUAAUACAGAGACCUCAAGCGUUAUCCGGAUUUAUUGGGCGUAAAGAGUGGGUAGGUGGUCGUGUUAGUCAGAUGUCAAAUCCUUCGACUCAAUCGAAGAACUGCAUUUGAAACGGCACGACUUGAGGCGGUGAGAGACCAGUGGAAUUCACGGUGUAGUAGUGAAAUGCGUUGAUAUCGUGAAGAACACCAAAGGCGAAGGCAGCUGGUUGGCACCGAUCUGACACUGAGCCACGAAAGCGUGGGGAGCGAAUGGGAUUAGAUACCCCAGUAGUCCACGCCCUAAACGAUGCACACUAGGUAUGGGAGGAAUCGACCCCUUCCGUGCCGCAGCUAACGCGUUAAGUGUGCCGCCUGGGAAGUACGAGCGCAAGCUUAAAACUCAAAGGAAUAGACGGGGAUCCGCACAAGUGGUGGAGCAUGUGGUUUAAUUCGACGAUAACCGAGGAACCUCACCAGGGUUUGAAAUCUAGCUGGAGAUCUUAGAAAUAAGAAGUCCUUCGAGGCCGCUAGACCAGGUGCUGCAUGGUCGUCGUCAGCUCGUGUCGUAAGAUGUUCCGUUAAGUCGGGAAACGAGCGCAACCCCUGUCGCGUGUUACACGUAUCACGCGAGACCGCCCCGCACCUUUUUUCUGAAUAUUUCGGAGGAAGGGUGCGGGGAGGAAGGAGGGGAUGACGUCAGAUCAGCAUGGCCCUCUGACACCCUGGGCGACACACGUGCUACAAUGGCCGGUAUAAAGGGUUGCCAAGCCGCGAGGUGGAGCUAAUCCCAAAAAACCGGCCCCAGUUCGGAUUGGAGUCUGCAACUCGACUCCAUGAAGCCGGAAUCACUAGUAAUCGUGAAUCAGCCAAGUCACGGUGAAUACGUUCUCGGAUCUUGUACU
rnacentral:rRNA from 1 species